rnacentral:rRNA from 1 species
AAAAGCGGAGGAAAAGAAACUAACAAGGAUUCCCCUAGGUACUGCGAGUGAAGCGGGAAAAGCUCAAAUUUAAAAUCUGGUGGUCUUUGGCCAUCCGAGUUGUAAUUUAGAGAAGCGUCUUCCGCGCUGGACCGUGCACAAGUCUCCUGGAAUGGAGCGUCAUAGAGGGUGAGAAUCCCGUCUUUGGCAUGGAUCCCAGGGCUUCUGUGAUGCGCUCUCGACGAGUCGAGUUGUUUGGGAAUGCAGCUCAAAAUGGGUGGUGAACUCCAUCUAAAGCUAAAUAUUGGCGAGAGACCGAUAGCGAACAAGUACCGUGAGGGAAAGAUGAAAAGCACUUUGGAAAGAGAGUGAAACAGUACGUGAAAUUGUUGAAAGGGAAACGCUUGAAGUCAGUCGCGUUGACCGAGACUCAACCUUGCUUUGGCUUGGUGUAUUUCUCGGCUGACGGGUCAGCAUCAAUUUUGACCCUCAGAUAAUGGCAAGGGAAAGGUGGCACCUUUUAGGUGUGUUAUAGUCCCAUGUCGCAUGUGAGGGUUGGGAUUGAGGAACUCAGCAUGCACCUCUGGGUGUCGGGGCUUUGGCCCACGUUACAUGCUU